CCCUACGGGGCGCAGCAGGCGCGAAAACUUUACAAUGCUGGAAACAGCGAUAAGGGGACCUCGAGUGCCAGGUUACAAAUCUGGCUGUCGUGAUGCCUAAAAAGCAUUGCAUAGCAAGGGCCGGGCAAGACCGGUGCCAGCCGCCGCGGUAACACCGGCAGCUCGAGUGGUAACCGUUAUUAUUGGGUCUAAAGGGUCUGUAGCCGGCCGGAUAAGUCUCUUGGGAAAUCUGGCAGCUUAACUGUCAGGCUUUCAGGAGAUACUGUCUGGCUCGAGGCCGGGAGAGGUGAGAGGUACUUCAGGGGUAGGGGUGAAAUCCUGUAAUCC
rnacentral:rRNA from 1 species